UACGUAGGGGGCUAGCGUUGUCCGGAAUCAUUGGGCGUAAAGCGCGUGUAGGCGGCCCGAUAAGUCCGCUGUGAAAGUCCAGGGCUCAACCCUGGGAUGCCGGUGGAUACUGUCGGGCUCGAGUCCGGAAGAGGCGAGUGGAAUUCCUGGUGUAGCGGUGAAAUGCGCAGAUAUCAGGAGGAACACCAAUGGCGAAGGCAGCUCGCUGGGACGUGACUGACGCUGAGACGCGAAAGCUAGGGGAGCGAACAGG
rnacentral:rRNA from 1 species